rnacentral:lncRNA from 1 species
AUUUGAAGCAGGGACUGAAGUCCUGAGCCAGAGCAGGUGUACCACAUCAGAAGGUACACCUGUAGCACGGAGAGGCUGCCUCAAGGGGGCAUCCAAUGGACCUCACCUGUGGUGUCUUAAAAAAAAACACACACACAACACGAGCCUUUCUACGCACACCAUACAGAGAUUGUCUUUGGCUAAGGGAAGACUGUAACUGCACAAGGAAGAAACCCAUAUAUUUUCCAGCACUCCAUCCUCACUGUCAAAACUGUCAAGAACAUAAAGGGUCUGAGAUUGUGCCCUACUUGCAAGGCAACAAGUUAACCUGGCAUAGUUUCAUGUAUGCUGGUAGAAGCUAUGAGGCUCCUGAUUCAGAGAAGGAAGCACUGCAUUAGCGAGUCCUGAAGAUCCUUUCCAGCUCUUUGAUUAUAUGACAUUCUGACUAGCACAAAGAGGCACACCUGCAAUCCUACUGAGAGUUCCAUGGAUCAUUAAUGAUUAUUCAUGGUGAAGGAAGCAGAGUUCUUAAGAAUAACUGUACAAUGUGCUAGGAGUGCAACAUCCCUGAGAUAAGGAGAGACUGACUGGAACAGCAUGGGCUCAGUGCCAGUUCCACCCUAAAAGGAGGAUGUUCUUCAAUGCUUUAAAUCAGCAACUCACAUGACCUCAAGAUAUCAAACAUGGGAAUGGCGGGCUGCUUUCCAUGCUCCCCUCUCUGUGGUUCUGGUGGGAAAUACCCAGAGGAGACUUCACCUGCCCUGGGCAGCUUUCCUGAGCCUUGGGCCAGCUCACAGUGAGUCCUAGGCUUCUGUUGUUCCUUGCUGCCUAACUGUAAGUAUUAAUAAUAAAACUCAAAUAAGUUGGUAAUCAGUGCACAGUGAACCUGCUUCACAGCAAUAUUUUU